UUUCUCUGCAUUGUCACACGCUGAUCACUCAUCAAUAGUCAUGAGACCCUGGGGGGGCCGGAAGUGUGACAGCGGGGACCACUCUCAUAGGAGCCUCUCCGUGCGGCCUGAGUGCACUCACCUGAUCAAUGGGGACACCGCUCCGGGUCGGGGUCACGG